GGGGGAUGUGUCUUUGUGGGUGCAUUGUUUCUUUUUAGUUGUUUUUGUUUGUGUCGUCGUUGAGUUGUUUAGUCUUGCUUUGGUGGUUUCUCUGUGAUGUUACCUUGAUGAAGAUGUGAGUAGUGUAGAGAUUGGUUAGAUAACUGGCUCAUGAUGAUUUCUGCUUUAAACUUGUGAAAUUGCAUGCGUUUGUGUUGAUAUUGUUGAGAUUGAGCAUGAGUGAUGAAUGAUAAGCGUGGUCUCUAUGUGUUUGCAAUCAAUGAAAUA
rnacentral:lncRNA from 1 species